rnacentral:tRNA from 1 species
GGAGAGGUGCCCGGAGCGGCUCAACGGGGACCAGAGAACGGUCGGGCCCACAAAGCCCACGCAGGUUCGAAUCCUGCCCUCUCCG